AUGAACGCUGGCGGCGUGCCUCAUACCUGCCAGUCGAGCGAACAGACGAGGAGCUUGCUCCUUUGACGUUAGCGGCGGACGGGUGAGUAACACGUAGGUAACCUACCUAUAAGACUGGGAUAACUUCGGGAAACCGGAGCUAAUACCGGAUAAUAUUUCGAACCGCAUGGUUCGAUAGUGAAAGAUGGCUUUGCUAUCACUUAUAGAUGGACCUGCGCCGUAUUAGCUAGUUGGUAAGGUAACGGCUUACCAAGGCAACGAUACGUAGCCGACCUGAGAGGGUGAUCGGCCACACUGGAACUGAGACACGGUCCAGACUCCUACGGGAGGCAGCAGUAGGGAAUCUUCCGCAAUGGGCGAAAGCCUGACGGAGCAACGCCGCGUGAGUGAUGAAGGUCUUCGGAUCGUAAAACUCUGUUAUUAGGGAAGAACAAACGUGUAAGUAACUGUGCACGUCUUGACGGUACCUAAUCAGAAAGCCACGGCUAACUACGUG
rnacentral:rRNA from 1 species